AGAGCUCUGCACUAAAGUUAUCACAUUGGCCAAUGCAACAAGCAAAACCAGCAAUCAAAUUCCCAUAAGAACCACGCAACGGACCACCAGCAUCCCCAAAUCUAUUAAUCAUGCUUCCAUCAAUAAGCACAGCCACCUAAUCCUCCGGCGAGGGAAGCCAUUGAACCAAUACUCCAUGUUGCACUUUAGAGAUCGAAUGUAGGGAGUCUGAAACUCAAGCAUUAGUAGUUUCCUUAACUUGGAGAGGAUGAGGAGAGCAAGAUCUUUAGGUGGGUCAGCUUCUCAAAAAAUUUAUGGCAUUCCUCUAUUUCCAAAUCAUCCAUAAAGCGAACCCAAACACCGUUGUCCAUUUAAAAGUAUGUGGAACCAAAUUUAAUCAAAUUGAAAUUCGACGACUUUGCCAUGCAGCCUGACGCGUUUAUUUGUUCAGUAAAUCACAUUAUCACAAUGAAAGCUGGUUUAUAUAGCUAAACAAAACCAUAGAGCUAUCGUUUGCUUAACUAAGCCCAACGAUCUGAACCGGAGUGCUCUUCAAAGUCUAAACCAUUUCGUCCCCUCCCGCCUUUCAAAAAUGGCUUUAUUUGCCCGCCGCCACUCUAAAACCUCCCUCAGAAGCCCUAUGGUAUCUCUCGACUCCUUUACCUCACAAGUGCUCGAAGAACACCUUUCUGUCUCUUCAUUUCCUGCGCGCUCUCCAAUGUUCCAUUUCAAGUCUCGAAAUUCCAAGCCUAAACUUAUUAUAGUGCUUCAAUUUCAAAAACUGCUCCUAACCCUUGGGUUUUUUUCUAGGGUUUUGUUUUUCUUUCUUCUUUUGUUUUUUCAUAACAAAAUGUCGUGGGAAGGGGAGAUUGUGCUUCGAGACGAGACAAAUGCUGGUCUCGUCGUUAGCGACCGCAUUGGGCGGGAGGUUGCGGCUCAGCUUGACCUCGAAGAGGCCCUUGAAGCUUCCAGAUAUGCUAGCCAUCCUUAUUCUACUCACCCUAGAGAGUGGCCUCCUUUCAUUGAGGUGGUGGACACCUGGGAGUUGCCCCCCCUGUACUAAUUGAAAGAUACAGUGCAGCCGGUGGAGAAGGGACGGCUUUAUGUGGAAUAUUUCCUGAGAUACGUAGGGCAUAGGCAUCGGUUGAUGAUUCCCUGUUUCUAUGGAGAUUUGAUAAGUGCGAGAGCACAUGCUUGCAGCUCAUGUAUUGCUAAAACUGGCUGAGAGAUGCUCAACUGGUGCAAGAGAUGUUCCUAGUCUUGAACAGAGGUAUGUCUGGAGAUGCUUUACUUUGCAAAUUAUUCGGGUGAUGCUCAUAGUAGCAUUGUCAGAGAAACUUGGGCCAGACUAAUUGAUCAAGCUCUUUCAAGCGGUGGCUUUGCUGAAGCUUGUUCAGUAUUGAAGAGGGUUGGUUCCCACGUAUACCCUGGAGAUGGAGCUGUUUUACCAUUAGACCCUUUAUGUCUUCACCUCGAGAAGGCCGCUCUGGAGAGAAUGGAACCAGGGGUUGAAUCUGUUGGCGAUGAAGAUGUAGCAAGAGCUCUUCUUACUGCUUGCAAGGGUGCAACUGAACCUGUACUAAAUGCUUAUGAUCAGUUGUUGUCAAAUGGGGCUAUUUUGCCAUCUCCCAACCUUAGGUUAUGCCUUCUCUGAUCAGUUCUAGUGGUACUCCAAGAAUGGACAAUGUCAGUAUUUGCUCAGGGGUUCCCUAAUAUUAGGCGGAACAUUCUCACAUGAGCAAACAACAGUCAUUAACAAAGGGAUUCGUGAUAAGAUCACAAGUGCAGCGAACAGGUGAAUUUGUCCUUUCAGCUAUUUGUUACUUUUUGCUUCUUUAAUUGUCAUGCAUGCUAGACAAGAGUUUCUUGGCAGGUAAAGAGAUUGCGGUUACAAUCUGAUAGCUUUCGUGUUUCAUAAGUUUGCUGAACAUAAAUAGUUUGAAAAGAAACAAAAAAAAUGUGAGAUCCUAGAUCUUAUUCUUAUAUUGGACUUCAUGAAAACUGAAUAUUAAUAAGAGGAAUGCUAGCAACACUUUCUUUUGGACCCUUUCAUUAGAAAUUUCCUCUACAAUUGGACACAUACAGAAAAAAAUUGAAUUUUAAAUCAAUAAUUUCAUGUGAGAGAAUAUAGACCAAUUAUUAAGAGAGUCUCUAAGAAAGUGUUCAAGAGAGAGUUUUGCUGGCAUUCUCAAUACUACUAAAAGAGAUAUAAGUUUAAGAUUAUUGGGACUGGAGUAGUUCUGAAAUUAUGUGGUUGACUUUUGUGAUGUUCAAAGAAUCAACUCAACUCAACUAAGCCUUUAUCCCAAAAAUUUGGGGUCGGCUAUAUGGAUUCGCUUUUUCCACUCUGAACGAUUUUGGGUUAAAUCCUCAGAAAUGUGUAAUACUUCUAAGUCAUGUUGUACUACUCUCCUCCAAGUCAAUUUAGGUCUACCUUUUUUUUUUUUUCUAUCCUCUAACCUAAUGUGCUCUACUUGUCUAACUGGAGCCUCCGUAUGUCUACGCUUCACAUGACCAAACAACCUUAAUCUCCCUUCUCUCAAUUUAUCGUCAAUUGGCACCACUCCUACCCUUUCUUUAAUACUUUCAUCACGGACUUUAUCUAGUCUAGUAUGGCCACUCAUCCACCUUAACAUUCUCAUCUCUGCAACUCUUAACUUAGAUGCACACGACUCUUUCAGUGCCCAACACUCACUACCAUAUAACAUAGCCGGUCGUAUGGCUGUACGGUAAAAUUUUCCUUUUAAUUUAUUGGGAAUCUUACGAUCACAUAAAACUCCCAUGGCACGUCUCCACUUCAACCAUCCGGCUUUAAUCCUAUGACUAACAUCCUCCUCACAUCCCCCAUCUACUUGAAGGACUGAGCCUAGAUAUUUAAAGUGAUUACUUUGGAACAGUACCACUCCAUUCAAACUAAUUCCUUCCCUAUCACCAGUUUGGCCUUCACUGAACUUGCAAUGCAUGUAUUCUGUCUUCGUUUUACUUAACUUAAAACCCUUUGACUCUAGAGUACUUCUCCAAAGUUCUAGCUUCCUAUUGACUCCUUCUCGUGUCUCAUCUAUCAGAACAAUAUCAUCCGCAAACAUCAUGCAUCAAGGAAUACUCUCUUGUAUAUGUUUCGUCAGUUCAUCUAAAACUAAUGUAAAAAGGUAAGGGCUUAUGGCUGAUCCUUGGUGUAAUCCAAUUGAGAUCGGAAAAUCUCUUGUGUCCCCUCCCACUGUGCGCACAAUAGUAGUUGCUCCUUCAUACAUAUCUUUCAAUACUUGUAUGUACCUAAUAGAUACCCUCUUUUGUUCUAACACAUUCCAUAAGACCUCUCUUGGAACACUAUUAUAAGCCUUCUCCAAAUCAAUAAAAACCAUGUGUAGAUCUUUCUUCACAUCUCUAUAUUUCUCCAUCAAGCUUCUAAUGAGAAAGAUCGCUUCCAUAGUUGAACGACCGGGCAUGAAACCAAAUUGAUUGAGAGAGAUAGAAGUAUCAUGACGUAGUCACUGCUCCACAACUCUCUCCCACAACUUCAUAGUAUGGCUCAUGAGUUUAAUUCCCCUAUAGUUUGAGCAACUCUGUAUGUCUCCCUUAUUUUUAAAAAUAGGUACUAAAAUACUCUUCCUCCAUUCAUCAGGCAUUUUCUUUGAGUUUAGAAUCUUAUUAAAUAAUUUAGUUAACCAUGCCACUCCCAUAUCUCCUAAAUACUUCCACACUUCAAUUGGUAU